AAAGAAAAUAUCAUCAUUGAAGGUCAAACAAGGAGGUAACAUUUCGUUCGAUUUGAUCCACAAAUAGAAAACAAUGGUUACAUCAAAUGUUAAUGAAUCGUGUCAUCAACAAGAAACUAGGUAAAUAUAAACAUUUCUUCAUUUUUAUUUAAUUGGAUCAUAAAGUGUGCAAAAUAUUACAUAAAGGUGUUUUAAAAUGAUUGACAAUUCAAAGCACGUGGUAAAUUUCUUCAAGCUUUCUGUUGCUAAUCGACAUAUAUAUGUUAAAUUACGUUCUUCUGGGUUUUUUUAAUGCUGCAAUGAGUUAUGAUAUAACAAAAUAUGAAUAAAUGUGCAUUCGUGAAUUAUUUGUUUUAAACAAGGUUAUUUAGUAUUUUCAAUUCAAUUGUAUCCUACUAUCUAUACCGAGGCAUUUUAAAGCCUACUAAACUGUAUCGGUUUGCACAUUAUUGACGGCCGUAAGGUUGCUUAUACUUGUUUAAAAUCCACUUCAUUGAACUUUGGUGAAUAGUUUACGCAUUGGCAAUGUAAUUUAUAAAAUUUAUAUUCUAAUUCGACAAACUUUCACGAAUAUAAGUUAGUUAAUAAACGAACCACACGUUCAUAUGAUAUGUGUGUCUUAAUAUGUAACAGCAUUUCGGUAAAUUGUGCAUACAUGGUUUUUUGGAAGAAAAUAAUCUGCAUAGCAUGCCCUAGAAUUUAAAAUUUCAAGUGCAAUGUAUGUUUAAAAAAAAUAUUAACAGGAUUUUUGCAGUGCACUUUUGUUUGUCCUUGUAGAAGAUGUUAGAAUAAACGAACAGCUGAGUAAAUUUUACUUGGUAUUGUCCACUCAAGUACAGGCUCAUGCACAUAGUUUAAAUCACUGAUUAUUGUCUGGUCCCUCUAUGGAAAGACCCUUCAAUUAUAACUUGAUGGGAGGUUCUAAAACCUCUUUCCCUACUAAGUUUACUUUGGCAACUUCUGGAGGAAUGAGAAAAGCGUCCAUUGCAAAAUCCUGUUAAUCUUCUAAAACAUAAAAUAGAUAAAACCAAUAAUAGUAUACCGCUUUUCGAAAGUCAUAAACCGAUUGUGAGAAAACAAAUUCGGGCUACAAACUUAAACUGAGUACCUUGAUGUCUUAAUUUUUUUGCAGAUGCACAGGAUUGUCAGUACUUGAAGUAAUUUGUUGUUGAAAAAACAAUCAUCUUUGCCAAAGGGUCCACAUAAAUUUUAAUAUAUUCAUUUCUUGAAUGGAGGCAUGCAAAAAACAACCAGCAUAUAAAGUAUACAUACAAUCAACAAUAUCUAUCUACAAAAGGGAAAACAAUACAUAUUGAUAUAUGUUUAUAUAAUAGUAUACCAAUGCAACAUUAACAGGUUGGUAAACAUCAUUACUAGCUUCUACUACAUUAACUGGUAGACAAACUUCGAGCAACUUCAAAGUCUUCAACGAAACCUUAAUACUUAAGUACACGAAUCUAAUGUGUUGCAUAUACACUUAAAACCAUGUGAAAUAAACUCAAAUCAUGUGCUUAUUAUAAACACAAGCAUGUGUUAACAAUCACUUGUCCGUUACUAAAUCUUGGGGUCAAUUAUAUUUAUACAAGUAAAUAUAUUUAGUGUACGUGUAUUUUUAAAGGAGAAUAAGCUACGAAAUAAGAAACAAAUUAAAAUAUGAGUUUGUUUGUUUCAAUCAUAAAAAAACGUGGCAUAAUGAAAUAAUAGUUCACUUUUCGCAGCCAAUUUAGUUCCAUUUUGUCAAAAUAAGCAAGGAACCAUCGACAAUGAAAUCUACAUUUGCAAGUAAAUAGAUCAAUCUCGUUAAAUCCGUAGAUAUGAGACCAUAAAUUUAACCCAAAAGAUCGGUUACACAUGUAUUGGUCGUGUUAAGCAACCAAAAUGAAAAAAUGUAAACAUCGAAAGUGAAACAAAUGUAAACCAUGUCGUUGAAAGAUCAAUAAAAUACCUUUCUUAUACAGGUAUAAGCGAUAACGUAUUUAUUUUUAAACCUUUAUCAAUCCUUGGAGGUCAUUUUAUAUAGUUCAUUGGAUGGCGUCUUGAUUCAAAUACGAAAUUUGGGUCUAUUUUUGCCGAGUACAUGCUUUGGUAACUGAUAUCUCAGAAUAAUUGUAAUGUGGGCGUACGGUUUUGUAUGUUAUAAAUCAAAUAUAAGAAUCUUUAUCAAAUAAGUGAACAUGAAUUUUACAGCAAUUUCCCCCUUUAAAGAUUGUCAGUUCGCUGUUUCAAUUCACAAUGUUUCAAAGACGAAAAAAUUUUAAUCUAACAAUUGAAAAUUAAUUAAAAACCAAAGAAACCAAGGGUUUAUAAUGACUCAGUUGAAGUCUUUUGCAUUCUCAAUCACAAUUUGGUGUACAAAAAAGUUGUUGUUGUUACGAUUCCUUCCUCCUUUCCUUGGUUGUAACACAUCACUGAAUGUAUCUUCCUUGGUUGUUUCAUCACCGAAUGUAUCUUAUUACACGUGAUUAUAUUCGCAACUGUGUACUCUUCUUGUAGAACCUGACGUCACCUCCUCAUUUUGAUGAAAUUAGUUUUGCUUUAUUGUUUAUCUUUUGGUUAAAUGUUGGAUACAUUGUUGUUAUUGGACGUUAAGUAACCAACAAUCAAUUGUAGUCGUGGUGUUGUCAAUUUUCUACGAUUUAAUUUCUUCCGUGACAAUACAACCUUUUAGAUUGUCAAUGUGGACCAAAUUUAGCUCACGGUUUCAUUUGACGUGUAUACGGAGGAACCAUGGUUAGUUUAUCAUAUACAAUUGACGAAUAUACAUGAAAAAAAGGGUCCGGUAUGUUUGAUAAACAUUAACAUGAUUUUUUUCUCAAAAUAGCUUUGAUUUGCUGAUUUCUUUUUGAAAUGAUAGGUAUAAACUUCUUUACAUGUGCUGCUUACCGAACUAGUUGAUUCCUAAAGUUAACUACGAUUCUAGCUGGUAAUUUGUUCACCUCUCUUGAUGAUGAUGUUGAUAAUGAUCAAAAUUCAAAUAUUUGUAUUUCAAAUUUUAGUCAAGUUUUCAUACUAUUACAUGCUCUGAAGAUAGUGUACUUUAAGCACUUUCUUUGCAGAAACCCUAUUGCAGUUUAUCCAUUUUACCGAUAUGGAAAAAUAACAAUACUAUCUACACCUGCAAUAAAACAAGACGGAGCAAAAGUAAUUCAGUCAAUAGAAAAGUUUUAUUCAAGAGAAACAGAUGUAAUACUGUGUUCAUCCAUGAAAUCAGGUUUGGAAAAUUAUGUUCAAGUAAAGAUAACAAACACUAUGAAUUAAUUGUUUAACUAAAUUCUAUCAUAAACAGCAGGAGUUGUCUUUUUCUAGAUUUCUCAAGGGAAACUCCAUACUAAAUUUUACGACAAAAGAAACGAUUUUUCAUUCCCUAUUGUUAAUCUUCCUUUUUUAGACGGCGAUGUUCUUUUAGCUCCAUCAUACGGUGUUUAUAUAUUCCAACUCGUUCGAUAUGCCGUGUGUGUAGUGAUGUCAUAGAUUUUAACGAACGUAAUCAAUGCAUCAAUAGUAGAGUAUGUUCAUUGGAAUAUUACACAUCCCAACAGACAAGGGCAUAGCGAACGAGAUGUGGUAUAUAUGCACCAUAAGAAAAUUAACAAUUGGGAACAAAAAUCAUACAAUUUGUUGUAAAUUAUAGUGAAGAGUUUCCAGUGUAAAGUUGAAAUAGCUAAAUCUAGAAAAGGACAGUUAUUACCGUUUGCAUUUGAUUUAUUUAAAUUAAAAAAACUUUGGGAAAUUUUGGAAGUAUGUUUAUAAAAUUCUAAAUUAUUUAACGAAAAAAUGAUCAUCUAAAUAAAAGUUAGUUUUGUUGAAUUUAUAAUUUAAAUGCAAUAAAAAUAGGUCUUUUCUGGGUAUGGUCAUAAACUGUGAUUCAAAACAAUUUAAGAACACGUCUUGUAUCAAAGGGGCACAAUUGGUGCCCAUUAGAAUACUUACAACCUGUCGAUAAUGUAUAUUGCAGAAACAUAUUAUCAAGAAGAAAAUAAACAGCACCAAUCAUCUCAUCACACCUCUAGUAAGUAUGCUUAGCAUAAUUAAAAUUAUCAUUAGAGAAGAAGGUUUUAAAUGACUUGCAGCAAACAAAUUCGCAUUCAGUUUUACAAAACGACCAUCUAGUUAAACAGGCACCGAUUUUGGAAAAUGAUUUCAUUUUUGAUUUGGGAGCUAUUGGUUCAUCCAUCAUUAUGCUUUUUAAUCUUUUGUUUGAUAAGAUUGUAGAGAGGUGUAGUAUACAGGGCUGAGCAGUAUACUGCCAAUAAAUUCAAGAGAACCACCAAGAGCACGUUAUUUAUCUAAAACAUUCAUUGCAAUUACUACACUUCAAAAAAGUUAAUUCCACUACUUUCAUAUAUUCUAUUACAAAAGUUGUAAGUUCCUAAAUCGUAGUUAAAAUCACUGAAAGAUUAGAAGGUGUACAUGAAGGAGUCAUAACAAAGUCAACAAAGAUAAAAUUAUUCCUAAAGACCCUCUGUAAUUCCUUUAGACCCCUUCUGUAAGCAUGUGUAUAACGAGUUUUCAAAGUGCAAUGAUAUAAAUCCAGCAAAACUUCUGUCAAAAACAGACGUGUCAAAUUGUACACUUACUGGAAGGGAAUUGCGUACAGAGUAUUUUAUUGUUUCAUUGCGCAUGCAUCAAAUAGAAAAUGGGAUUAUAUAGGAUCAACCCAAGAUUUACUACUCAAGGCUUAACAUUGAGAAUGGAAAUUGGGAUUGUUGUACAACAUUGAAACAAACGAAAUAAUCACUAUGGCCCGAUAAUUAAGCUAAGCGUUCAAAAGUAAUAUUUAAACAUGCAAACUAAUAAGUUCUGGUCACAAACUUUGAUCCCCGUCAUUGUUUGAAAAUAGUUCAUCGAGUAAUACUCCGAAGCAGGGUAUUAAAUAACACAUAUCUCCAUAGAUGCGUAUAUAUGAACGUAUCAGAUACUUAGAAAAUAUUAUAACUUGUCAUACCUUUAUUGUUGUCAGAUGUCUAUUAUUUCUCCUUUGUCCUUGCCAUUUAUUAAGGUUUACUUGAUUAUUACACAAGGGGAACUUCUAGAAAAAUGUUUUUCAGUAAAACAGUUAAACCCCUAUAAGUUCUUAAUUUUAAGACAUAUUCAAUGUUUUGAAAUUGAUAUAUCUAGGUCAUGCUAUUUGUUAAAAAUGUUUACAGAUGCAAAUGUUGGUCUGCGCUAACAAUUAAUUAUAUAGUGUUAGCAUAGCCAUUUUAGCUAAAGAGUCUGAAUCAACAUUUGUAGAUAUUUUGUACAUUAAGAAGAAGUAAUGAAUUCUCAACAUUUAUUUUUCCUGCUUUCUUUUAAGGUACACACUGGGCUCACGAAAUUAUUUCAAUGCUUUUACACCAGACAAUAGAGUAUAAUACGUUUGGUGUAAUGGCCAAGUUUAACUUCGAAUGCCAAACA
rnacentral:lncRNA from 1 species